rnacentral:rRNA from 1 species
GACGAACGCUGGCGGCGUGCUUAACACAUGCAAGUCGAACGGAAAGGCCUCUUUCGGGGGGUACUCGCGUGGCGCACGGGUGAGUAACACGUGUGUAUCCUGCCCCUGACUUUGGGAUAACUUCUGGAAACUGGGGCUCUAACCGGGUAGGAGCUCCUCCUGCACGGUGUGGGUUGGGGAGAUUCGGGGGUUGGGGAUGGACUCGCGGCUUUUAAGCUUGUUGGUGGGGUAGUGGCUUACCAAGGCUUUGACGGGUAGGCGGGCUGAGAGGGGGACCGGGCACAUUUGGGCUUAGGUACGGCCCAGAAUCCUACGGGGGGCAGCAGGGGGGAAUAUUGCACAAUGGGUGGAAGCCUGAUGCAGCAACGCCGGGUGCGGGAUGACGGCCUUCGGGUUGUAAACCGCUUUCGCUCAUGACGAAGCUUUGUGUGACGGUAGUGGGUAAAGAAGCACCGGCUAACUACGUG